rnacentral:lncRNA from 1 species
AUUCAGUUGAGAGAGAAACUGUCUCUCUGGAGCUGAAGAGGAAAGGAGAGAGAAGUGUGGCUGAAUCUAAGAUCAAUUCCCAAGGCAAUAGCCUGUGAAGAUCCUUUGGCUGUGGUGAGGAUUUAUUUUUCAAUCAUCUGCUGGUCAGGGAUUGAGGAGCUGUCUUCAACUUGGAGGAGUUAUCAUCUGUGGACAUUUCACCUUGGAUUCCUGUUUUGGCUCCCAGAGACUCUAUUUUUGACACCAUUGGUAAAGAGUUCAGUCUAAUAAGGGGAAUGGCAUGGCAGUGCAGUGAGCAGUGGAAAUGAAGUAGCUCAUCCUCCUACCCUCCUUCGGGAAUGGAAGAGAAGAAAGCCAUCCCUUAUGAAAAAGAAUUUUUAAAAAGAAAUAAAAGGAAACAUAUGAGGAAAGAAAAGCCAUCAAAGAUGAUCAAAGCAUCAAAAAAAGAAUCUGAUGCAAUGCUCCAUUCCUGUUUUCCAACUUCUGCAAAGGAGAAGUGAAAGCAGAUGCUUUUCCUGGCAAGUACUACAGUGUGGGAAGUAUGAUGCCACCUGAGAAGCAACACAAACCUAGAUACAAAUCAUUCUACUCAAGUCUUGGAGCUGUCCUCAAAGAAAAACAAACUUGGCACUAGACAUAAACUAAAUGAGUGCCAAGAGCUGCCAGCACAUUAAGACCAAAGCCCAACAGAAACAGAGCCCCUCGGCAACUUCUAGAGGGAAUAUCAGCUAAGGAGGAAAGAGAAUUGGAGUUGUG